rnacentral:rRNA from 1 species
GAUGAACGCUAGCGAUAGGCUUAACACAUGCAAGUCGAGGGGCAGCAUGGUCUUAGCUUGCUGAGACUGAUGGCGACCGGCGCACGGGUGCGUAACGCGUAUGCAACUUGCCUCACAGAGGGGGAUAACCCGUCGAAAGACGGACUAAUACCGCGUACACUUGGGAUAGGGCAUCCUGACCCAAGGAAAUGAAAUUCGCUGUGAGAUAGGCAUGCGUCCCAUUAGCUAGUUGGUGAGGUAACGGCUCACCAAGGCGACGAUGGGUAGGGGAACUGAGAGGUUGAACCCCCACACUGGUACUGAGACACGGACCAGACUCCUACGGGAGGCAGCAGUGAGGAAUAUUGGUCAAUGGGCGAGAGCCUGAACCAGCCAAGUCGCGUGAAGGAUGACUGUCUUAUGGAUUGUAAACUUCUUUUAUACGGGAAUAACAAGAGCCACGUGUGGCUCCCUGCAUGUACCGUAUGAAUAAGCAUCGGCUAACUCCGUG